rnacentral:rRNA from 1 species
UACAGAGGUCUCAAGCGUUGUUCGGAUUCAUUGGGCGUAAAGGGUGCGUAGGUGGUGAUGCAAGUCCGGUGUGAAAUCUCGGAGCUCAACUCCGAAAUUGCACCGGAUACUGCGUGACUCGAGGACUGUAGAGGAGACUGGAAUUCAUGGUGUAGCAGUGAAAUGCGUAGAGAUCAUGAGGAAGACCAGUGGCGAAGGCGGGUCUCUGGACAGUUCCUGACACUGAGGCACGAAGGCCAGGGGAGCAAACGGG